AUACUUACCUGGCAGGGGAGAGCCCAUGAUCAUGAAGGUGGCUUCCCCAGGGCCAGGCUCGUCCAUUGCUCUCCAGUUGUGCUGACCCCUGUGAUUUCCCCACAUGAACCUGCCACCUCCGGCAUAUGGGC
rnacentral:snRNA from 1 species